rnacentral:rRNA from 1 species
AUUGAACGCUGGCGGCAGGCCUAACACAUGCAAGUCGAACGAGUGGCGGACGGGUGAGUAAUGUCUGGGAAACUGCCUGAUGGAGGGGGAUAACUACUGGAAACGGUAGCUAAUACCGCAUACCAUCGGAUGUGCCCAGAUGGGUUUAGCUAGUAGGUGGGGUAAAGGCUCACCAAGGCGACGAUCCCUCGCUGGCCUGAGGGGAUGACGGGCCAACCGGGAACGGUGACAGGGUCCAGACUCCAACGGGAGGCAGAGGUGGGGAAUAUUGCACAAGGGGCGCAAGCCUGAUGCACACAUGCCGCGUGUAUGAAGAGGGCCUUCGGGUUGUAAAGUACGUUCAUCGGGGAGGCGUUACCCGCAGAGGAAGCACCGGCUAACUCCGUGCCAGCAGCCGCGGUAAUUC